rnacentral:lncRNA from 1 species
GCAUACAGCCUGGCUCCAAAAUCCGGCUCCAUGACUGAUGAGGAGGGAAAAAAACUAAAAGGAAACGCAUUUUCGAGUUGCACAUCAUGAUCAGGCACAGAGUCCAGAUACACUUGGAGUAGCAAGCAUCCAUCCUUGUGGAGACGCACAUGAACCAGGACUCUCUGCACCCACCCCUCUCAAGUUUUAUUUUCCGACGGCUGUAAUGUUCCAGGACACCUGCCAUCAUGGAGGGUUAUCCAGCACCUGGAGGAUACCUGCUACCUAGUGGAUAAACAGGAGGGAAAGAGAAAG